AUUGAACGCUGGCGGCAGGCUUAACACAUGCAAGUCGAGCGGAGUGAUGGUGCUUGCACUAUCACUUAGCGGCGGACGGGUGAGUAAUGCUUAGGAAUCUGCCUAUUAGUGGGGGACAACAUUUCGAAAGGAAUGCUAAUACCGCAUACGUCCUACGGGAGAAAGCAGGGGAUCUUCGGACCUUGCGCUAAUAGAUGAGCCUAAGUCGGAUUAGCUGGUUGGUGGGGUAAAGGCCUACCAAGGCGACGAUCUGUAGCGGGUCUGAGAGGAUGAUCCGCCACACUGGGACUGAGACACGGCCCAGACUCCUACGGGAGGCAGCAGUGGGGAAUAUUGGACAAUGGGCGCAAGCCUGAUCCAGCCAUGCCGCGUGUGUGAAGAAGGCCUUAUGGUUGUAAAGCACUUUAAGCGAGGAGGAGGCUACUCUAGUUAAUACCUAGGGAUAGUGGACGUUACUCGCAGAAUAAGCACCGGCUAACUCUGUGCCAGCAGCCGCGGUAAUACAGAGGGUGCAAGCGUUAAUCGGAUUUACUGGGCGUAAAGCGCGCGUAGGCGGCUAAUUAAGUCAAAUGUGAAAUCCCCGAGCUUAACUUGGGAAUUGCAUUCGAUACUGGUUAGCUAGAGUGUGGGAGAGGAUGGUAGAAUUCCAGGUGUAGCGGUGAAAUGCGUAGAGAUCUGGAGGAAUACCGAUGGCGAAGGCAGCCAUCUGGCCUAACACUGACGCUGAGGUGCGAAAGCAUGGGGAGCAAACAGGAUUAGAUACCCUGGUAGUCCAUGCCGUAAACGAUGUCUACUAGCCGUUGGGGCCUUUGAGGCUUUAGUGGCGCAGCUAACGCGAUAAGUAGACCGCCUGGGGAGUACGGUCGCAAGACUAAAACUCAAAUGAAUUGACGGGGGCCCGCACAAGCGGUGGAGCAUGUGGUUUAAUUCGAUGCAACGCGAAGAACCUUACCUGGCCUUGACAUAGUAAGAACUUUCCAGAGAUGGAUUGGUGCCUUCGGGAACUUACAUACAGGUGCUGCACGGCUGUCGUCAGCUCGUGUCGUGAGAUGUUGGGUUAAGUCCCGCAACGAGCGCAACCCUUUUCCUUAUUUGCCAGCGAGUAAUGUCGGGAACUUUAAGGAUACUGCCAGUGACAAACUGGAGGAAGGCGGGGACGACGUCAAGUCAUCAUGGCCCUUACGGCCAGGGCUACACACGUGCUACAAUGGUCGGUACAAAGGGUUGCUACCUAGCGAUAGGAUGCUAAUCUCAAAAAGCCGAUCGUAGUCCGGAUUGGAGUCUGCAACUCGACUCCAUGAAGUCGGAAUCGCUAGUAAUCGCGGAUCAGAAUGCCGCGGUGAAUACGUUCCCGGGCCU
rnacentral:rRNA from 1 species